rnacentral:rRNA from 1 species
AUGGCGUCCACGGCGUACGCGCGGGGGUCCAAGCCGCCGGUCGGUCCCGGCGAGCGGAGGCAGCCGCGGCUGGCCAAGGAGCUGAGCAGGAUCGAGCCCAAGAAGCUCGGGAUUGGGCUCGUCGCCGGCUGCUGCCUCGCCCUCCUCACCUACAUCUCCUUCGCCCGCCUCUUCGCCAUCUACUCGCCGGUCUUCGAGAGCACGUCCAUGGUGAUGAAGAACGCCCCGCCCGCCUCCACGGCGGUGCCCAGCACGGAGGAGGCCGUGCCGGUCCAGAAGAAGAUCGAAGUCGAGGGCGGGGAAGAUCUCGCUGGAGGCGGCACGGAGCCGAAAGAGCCCGGCUUUCCACAAGAAACAAAGAUCGAAGAAAAGGAGGAGGAGACCCCAGCGGAGACAAAAAAUGGUGCCGAUAAAACAGAAGAGGCCAAGGCCAAGAUGACCUGCGACGAGAACGCCGUGGACGAGGGCUUCCCCUACGCGCGACCGUCCGUGUGCGAGCUCACCGGCGACGUCCGUGUCAGCCCCAAGGAGAAGACCAUGUUCUUCGUAAACCCGUCCGGCGCCGGCCCGUUCGACGACAACGGGGAGAAGAAGAUCCGGCCGUACGCCCGAAAGGACACCUUCCUUCUCCCGGGCGUCGUGGAGGUCACCAUCAAGUCCGUGGCGUCGCCCGUGUCCGCGCCGGCGUGCGCCCGGCGGCACGACGUCCCCGCGGUGGUCUUCUCCACGGCCGGCUACACGGACAACUUCUUCCACGACAACACGGACGUGAUGAUCCCGCUCUUCCUCUCCACGGCGCACUUCGCCGGCGAGGUGCAGUUCCUCAUCACCAACUACAAGCCGUGGUGGGUGACCAAGUUCGCGCCGCUGCUCAAGAAGCUGUCCAACUACGAGGUGAUCAACUUCGACAAGGAGGAGGAGGUGCACUGCUUCCCCGGAGGCCAGCUCGGGCUGUACCGCGACCGCGACCUCAUCAUCGGCCCGCACCCGACCCGCAACCCGCACAACUACACCAUGGUGGACUACAACCGGUUCCUCCGCCGCGCGUUCGGCCUGCCGCGGGACGCCCCGGCGGUGCUCGGCGAGAAGAUGGCCGUCAGGCCCAAGAUGCUCAUGAUCGAGCGCAAGGGCACGCGCAAGCUGCUCAACCUGCGCGCCGUGCAGGCCCUCUGCGAGGAGCUCGGCUUCGAGGUGACCGUGGCGGAGGCCGGCGCCGACGUGCGCGCCUUCGCCGAGACGGUCAACGCCGCCGACGUGCUCCUGGCGGUGCACGGCGCCGGGCUGACCAACCAGAUCUUCCUGCCCACCGGCGCCGUGCUGGUGCAGAUCGUGCCGUGGGGCAAGAUGGACUGGACGGCCACCAACUUCUACGGGCAGCCGGCGCGCGACAUGCAGCUCCGGUACGUCGAGUACUACGUGUCCGAGGAGGAGACGACGCUCAAGGACAAGUACUCCAGCGACCACUACGUCUUCAAGAACCCCAUGCAGAUCCACGCGCAGGGUUGGCCGGCGCUCGCCGAGAUCGUCAUGAAGCAGGACGUCAUGGUCAACGUCACCAGAUUCAAGCCCUUCCUCCUCAAGGCGCUCGACCAGCUGCAGGAUUAG